rnacentral:lncRNA from 1 species
UUUCAGUAACUGAAUAAUCUUUGACCGUCCAAAAGAACUACGAUGUUUCUUUGGGAAUAACAGCAGAACAAAAAAUCCGAGAAUCAUGGCUGACCUAUGAGGCACAGAUGUUGUCGAGGACCUAGCUGGCAAACCAGUGCCAGAAGACGACCUUGAACCAUGCCUCCUCUCCUUUGCGCAACCUUGAAACCACGAGUAAUUACCUGGCAUUAUUUCAUUAUCUCAGCUGGUUUUAUGACUUCAAACAUAUGAGAGUACUCUAACAUGUAAAAUAAUUCUUUCUCAGGUUCCAAAUAAGUCAACAGUAGGUCAAAAAUAGAGGUGAAACAUUGCCAGGCAGGCAGACACACAACAACAGCCGAUGAUUAUAGCUUAAGGUCCAAUGAGGAUAAUAUAAGUAGUGGAAAACGGAAUUUUGUAUCCACAUCCCUAUUGAUCAAGGAGUAAGUCAACAUGAUACAAGAAACGUACAACAACACCCGAGACAAUAUAAUUACAACACUGCAGAAAAAUUAGAGAUCCAUGUAAUCAAAUAUCUCUUUGUUAAAUUUUAGCUGAACAACUUAACUUAUAGAGUGUCGAUGGUUCAGAUCUUUUUCCUUUUAAUUAACAUGUGAGUUAUUAUGAAGUGGGUAAUUUCUUUUUGCGGUAUAUAAAGUGGGUAAUUCAUAUAGACUAAGACAUGGAAAAAGGGUGUAGGUGGUGCAAAUUCAUAGCAAGUUUUAUAUUGGAUGCACACAAACAACUGUGUGGACACACAAAAAGAAAACAAUCACUUUGAAAGUUUGAAUAGAAAUGUCUAAAUGAACAUCAGAUGGUCUAGUGUCUCCACUGAAAGCACUACAUUGACCCCUCAUUAACAAUUUAGCAAUGAACAAACAAUUCUAGUAUUUAGACAUGAGAAUACCUUGUACAGAAUUUCAAAGCCAUAAAAAACGUUACCACUGGUUUGGGUAUCCUGGAAAUAAAACAGAGGUAAUAAAUUCCUUAUAACUAAUCAGGUGAACAUAGAAAAUUGAUUACCUCUGGUUUGAUCCCAUGUGCUCUAGCCAAAAAUAGAUCAAAUCGGCAGGAUAUCCUAUAAGGAAACAAAUCUAGCAAGGAAACUGAUUAUUAUUAUAUCUAAUUUCCAGCUACCAGUGGUAGGCGCAAAGUGGAACACUAUUACGUAGGACAACAAAUUUGGGCAGGAGGAAGUAUAAUGGUUAUGAAUGCCAGGCAAAGUGUAUUAAGUUCAUAACUAUGAGCAUGCAAAUAAUUUAUAUGAAGGGUCCCUUUUCUUCUGCAUAAGUCAGACAUACUGUAUGUAUGUGUAAUGUGUCCAACUGUACACAAAUACAAAAUAUAUAUUACAACAGAAAAUGCGUGAAUAUGAUGAUGAAUAUCUUAUUCUGAACUCUUUUGCAUCUUGUAUAAUGGACAGGGAUUGAGAUUCUAAUUUCGGCACUACUGGAGAGUAUGUUGUGUGCAAAACGAAACUACAUGCAGUAAUCUACAUGAUUGUUCGUACGAACAGAGAAACAAUUUUGCAUUUAGUAGAUGUGUGUAUGUUUCAGGGUUACUUUCACAAUAUUUAGUUGGUAUAGAAAAAACACUUAAGGCUAGCAAAUAGAAUUAACCUAGUACAUAGAAAGUAGAGAACUGACCGCUGCAGUAAAUUAUGAACUGAUAUCACACAUAAAAUAGUAACAUACCCCAAAAUCUAUUCCUCGCAGCUCCCCACAAGUCUUCCUUCGCCCUCUUCUGCUCCACCAACCCCUGUUAUGAUUUCUCUCCCCUUAAAUCACUCUUAUUACUCCCCAUACCAUCUCUG